rnacentral:tRNA from 1 species
AGCUAAAUAGUUUUAAUGAACAUUUAUUUUGAAAAUAAAAAGUAAGAGGGACACUCUAUUAGCUU